GCCUACGGGAGGCUGCAGUAGGGAAUUUUGCGCAAUGGGGGCAACCCUGACGCAGCGACGUCGCGUGUGGGAUGAAGGGUUUCGGCUCGUAAACCACUGUCAGAUGGGAAGAUGGGAAUUACGGUUAAUAACCGUAAAUUUUGACUGUACCAUCAGAGGAAGCACCGGCUAACUACGUGCCAGCAGCCGCGGUAAUACGUAGGGUGCUAGCGUUACUCGGAAUCAUUGGGCGUAAAGGGUGCGUAGGCGGAACGGUAAGUCAGAUGUGAAAGCCUUGGGCUCAACCCAAGAAGAGCAUUUGAUACUGUCGUUCUAGAGUACAGGAGAGGAAGGUGGAAUUCCCGGUGUAGAGGUGAAAUCCGUAGAUAUCGGGAGGAAUACCAGAGGCGAAGGCGGCCUUCUGGACUGACACUGACGCUGAGGCACGAAAGCGUGGGGAGCAAACAGGAUUAGAUACCCCGGUAGUC
rnacentral:rRNA from 1 species